AGUGAGAAUUUGACGUUAAGUUGCUGCUUCAUUUAGGGAUACCGCUAAGCGGAAAAAAAACUCAACGCUUUUAUUUAGUUAUGCCAGAAAGAGAAGACAGCAGUCGGGUCAACUGGCGAUUCUCCCUCGCAGUGGCCACUUUAUGAUAAAAUGAGAGCCAUACUGUUGCCGUACGUCAGCUACAACGCCGAGAGCUUAGUGGAGGAAAGUUUUCAAAGUUCUACUAACUCUGAACCACUCCAAAUUUCGGUGGAAACGGCUGCGUUUUCUACAUUCGUUGCUGCAUCUCCA